GAUCAUGGCUCAGGAUGAACGCUGGCGGCGUGCCUAAUACAUGCAAGUAGAACGCUGAAGCUUGGUGCUUGCACCGAGCGGAGGAGUUGCGAACGGGUGAGUAACGCGUAGGUAACCUGCCUCUUAGCGGGGAUAACUAUUGGAAACGAUAGCUAAUACCGCAUAAAAGUCGACAUUGCAUGAUGUUGACUUGAAAGGUGACAAAUGCAUCACUAAGAGAUGGUACCG
rnacentral:rRNA from 1 species